rnacentral:rRNA from 1 species
CGCUCGACUCAUGUCGGCAGCGUGUGGCUCGAUGUAAGCUAGAAGUAGCCAGCGAUCAGCUGGUCCACACCACUCGUUUAAACAAUGUGUGGUCGACUGGCAGUUUGACUGGUUGCUGCUGGCUGUUGAGCCUAACAAACUUGCAGCUGGUGGUAGUAGCGCUGGGCUAGUCCGGCGUUAAUGCUGAUCAGUUGCGGUGAAUAAUAUACGGUAUGCGGUGGAUCACUCGGCUCGUGUGUCGAUGAAGAGUGCAGCCAACUGU